GGAGGAUCCAAGCGUUAUCCGGAAUCAUUGGGUUUAAAGGGUCCGUAGGCGGUUUAGUAAGUCAGUGGUGAAAGCCCAUCGCUCAACGGUGGAACGGCCAUUGAUACUGCUAAGCUUGAAUUAUUAGGAAGUAACUAGAAUAUGUAGUGUAGCGGUGAAAUGCUUAGAGAUUACAUGGAAUACCAAUUGCGAAGGCAGGUUACUACUAAUUGAUUGACGCUGAUGGACGAAAGCGUGGGUAGCGAACAGGAUUAGAUACCCUGGUAGUCCACGCCGUAAACGAUGGAUACUAGCUGUUGGGAGCAAUCUCAGUGGCUAAGCGAAAGUGAUAAGUAUCCCACCUGGGGAGUACGUUCGCAAGAAUG
rnacentral:rRNA from 1 species